CCUCUCUCUCCCUCUCUCUCCUCCUCUCUCUCUCCUCUCCAAGAUCCCCUCCCUGCUAAGUCUUUGCUGCUGCAGGAGGGCUGGGGGAAGGGCAAGGGUGCGGAGCGGGGGUGCCUGGUGUCUCCUUUCUUCCUGCUUCCCCUCCCCCCCGCCCCCCAAGUGCGGACGCCUCGGGAGCUCCGGCCUCCCCCACCCCUGCAUUCGCGAUUGGCUCGGGGAGAAGGUGGAUGGCGCUGCCGCGGCUGCAGCAUCUCCCUGGGAGCCGCACGGGGCGCAUCGUAUCCGGGAGCCGCGACCCUGCGCCCGCGGCCGCUGUCGCCAGCCCGGCUGGAGGGGCUCCGCGAGAUGCGGAAGCCGGAAUGCAGCCCGGACCCCAGAGUGCACUUGGAGCCUUUGCUGUGUCACGUUCCCAGGGUCCCACUGGCCCAUGGAAGCGGGGACCAGGAAGGAAACUGAGGCAAGUCCUUACAGGGCGGCGGCGGGGGGCGGGGGGUGGCCCAGGGAACAAGGGGUCACUCCCCAAGGCCUCCGGCCAGGAGGGGCCAGGAGGGGCCGGGGGGCACUCCGGUCCCCGUCGUCGUCUCCCAGAACUCUGCGGGAAGGAGUGAUUGCAAACUUUGUCACAGGCCGAAGGAACCUUCCAAAGCUGGAGGGUGGCAUUGGGUCAUUUGAUGGAGAGCCAGUCAUUAGGAGCAUGAGCCACUUCAAAAGGCCCCUCCCCCAGCGUAUGUCCAAUGCCAGCGCAAACCUGGGCCAAACGACCCCAGAAAUGCCCCCAGCCCUCCCAGGAGAAGCUAUGGGGCUGAGCAGCGUCCAGCGAGAGGCCUCUGCUUUCUCCCCGAGGGGUCAUCAAAGGACCAGGAUUUUGAGGAGCAGAGCAGAUGCCUCGCAGGGCGCCUACCCCCCGUGUCCCCUGUCUGGCCAGCAUUACAGUAAUCAGCCCAUGAUGCUAAACAUGAAAAGACGGCUUUCCCGGAAAACUGCUGACGCGUGGGCUCUCCGGCAGAGCGAGCGAGCGCGCGCGUGCACGCGGGAGGCAGGCCUCCCGAUCCCGGGGACCCGUGAGGGUUCACAUGGUGAUGAAUUUUCAACCCUAGAAGCCAAAGUGGUCUGAGUUACGAAAUCCCAAAAGUCCGUUCCUUUCUGAGCCGCCCGGCAUCAAGGGCAGCGGCGUCCUCCCAGGCAGAACGUCAGGCACAAGGGCGCCCGGGGCAGGCCGGUCCCAGAUCCUCCUGGGCACGCACCGCGCCCGGUGGCCCCACGGGCUGACCGCCUUCAGCAGAAGCAGCCCGAGCAGUCAGGUCUCCCGAGGGAACCCGGCCACACCCACACCUGCCGCAUCUGGGGAUCCUGUUGCUGGCCUUUCUGUGGCUUCCGUGGGCUCCCCUCUCUGAGACCUUGUGUGCGCUCGCUGGGGUCAGCAGUGGCUCUGCAACCAACCCCAACCUCAGGGGAGUCACCUCCUGGCAGGUGAAAUACGACCAAUUAAGGGAAAACAAUCUUUCCAUCAAGACGAACCAGGACAAACUUUGUGUGCAGGGGGUUUCACAAAGGGCUAUAGGAAAUCCCAGCUUCUACCCAUUUAAAAUCCACAUAAUGAAAUUCCGUCUGCUGGUCACUAAUGCAAGAUGCUCAGCUAAUUCUUUUCUUAUUUUUUUUGGCUGCCCUGCGGCACCUGGAGUUCCUGGGCCAAGAAUCAGAUCCAAACCGCAGUUGUGACCCGCCCUGCAGCCGUGGCAACACCAGAUCCUUUAACCCACUCUGCCGGGGGGAAUUGAUCCUGGAGCCUAGUGCAGCAGAAUGAAAUCUCAGGAAGACGCUGCGCUCAGAACAUGCUUCCGGCUUGCACGUCGAAAAAUGCGCGUUCCGACCACGCUCACGCGCGACACUCAGCAAGCAGAAGACCCGAGCGUGCGAGCCAGAGGUCUGGAAUGAGAGACCAAACAACUGCAGAGGACAAACCGCAGAACCGUCCCCGCCGGGAAGGGCUCAGAGGCGGGCUGGAAAAGAGACCCGGCACGCCACACUGCAGUUAUGCCCACAGGGUCCCCGAAGGAGGGGUUUGGAAGGCGGCCCCGCCACGGCCGGACUGCCCGGCUCCCCGGCGGCCCCUGCCCGAGGGCCCCUGCCCGCACCCUCCAACGGAGCCCACCUGGACAGCCCUUCGGCCCCACACAAGCCUGGAGAGGUCCCCAAAGAAAGAGUCAUGGCUUGUCAAAAGUCUCCACUCUGCCUGCAGAUGGCAGGACCCCGCACACCCGCCCCGUGACCCCUUGUGACCUCCGCUUCCUGAGUCCAGGGAUGGGCCCUGAGUAAUUCCGGGAUCUCUGAGCCCCAAGGAGUGGCCGUGAUUUAAGGGUGAUGAGGCCAUGGUCAUGAGCCGUUAGUGACCGGAGGGGCCCGUGCCCUGCCUGGAAAGGCCCCACGCCCCACGUGAGGUCCUUGUGGGGAGUCGCCCUUCACCCUGAUUGGCCCUCCUGCCCAACCCCCCAGGAACCUGCCUCCCCAGGCUCGGGGCCAGGACUGUCCCACAGGCCCCCUGAGCUCUGCUGGGUCCAGCUGUGCAGCUCACAGAAGAGGAAGCUUCUAGGCCCUGGGAGGCCACCCUCCCGCAAGCCCAAGGCAGGACUUCCUUCUCUGGAUGGAGACCAGCCUCUCCCCUGGACCCCAACCGGUGAGGCUGACUGUUUGUGGGAACGUGGCCUGGAAUCCCCUGGCGCGGGAAGCCCCGUCAGCCUGCGCAGGUCCCUCAGUCACGUCUCCUGCGGUUCUGGACGGAGCUGAGCUGAGCCCAGGGGCUUCUGCCCUGGGGCCUUCGGGAACCUUCCCGGAGACGGACAGUUGGACUCUAUGUGCUGGUGUGGCACGCGCACAGGUGUGACAAACACCCCAUCCAGACACCAAGGAGCUUCGAGGGGCAGCGGCCCUCCUCCGUCGGAGAGAAGGCAAUAGUCGGAUCGGUGGCAUCUGUAGACCCUGACGCCGACGGCCUCGCCUGUGAGGCUAAGGUCCCGCCUCACGCAGGCUGCUGGCAAUUACGUUUUCUCCUCCGAUGACCUAAUUGAUGCUUCACGCACUUGGAGAUUUGCCCGACUUCCAGGUGCUCUGAAAAGGCGUUUCCCCAGGGCGGGGCUCUGGGGCCCCUGAACCCGCUUCAGGAAGUGGCUGGGGUUUGCCGCGCUUUCUGGAAGGUGUCCGUGCAUCUGAACUCGGGACUGAGCAUCUGCACCUGUCACAAAGGGCUGAGCUUCUCCUUGGACCCUGGCUUGUGUCCCCAGGACAGUCUCAGGCCCAGCUUUCCUGCCGCCACAGAGUUGGGCAAGUGGUCCUGGCAGAGGCUCCCGGAGCCCAUGUUGCUCCUGCAGGCUGAGAGCAGCCAGAAACGCCUCUCGCAAACGCCCCCAGGGCAGAAACAUCCUUGCUUCCGGGCCCAGUAAUUUUCCAGAGCAAAAACUUUCCUUUCAAGGGGCAGGAAGGGCAUUCAGUCACUGACAGCCUAACUAGAAACCCUUCUGACCAGAAGUCACCACCGCCCGGAGCGGAAGCCCGGCCGUGACUCAGCAGGAUGAGGGAAGCAGGCGGUUGUGGUGGGGGGUGGAGGCAGCCUGGGGACCGUGGGGGACAGCGCUGCAGCGCCCCACCCUCUCCGGGUGCAUCCGGACCCGUGUCAGGUGGGGGCUGGGCGGGCUGGCCGCCCCCACGGGUCAGACCAGCUUCGUUGUCUCUGGCCCCACGUGAGCAGCCUUGACCGCUGCAGAAUAACCGGGGCAGGAGGCUCGGGUGGGCAGAGGCUCAGGGCCCCAGGGUAAGAGAGGCUGCAGAGGUGCCCGGCUCUUGUUCCAGUUUGCUGGCAGCAUAUGGGAGUGGGGGGCGUCUGGGGGAGGGUCUGAGGAUGGAGGCUCCUCCCACUCGCUCUGCCCAUUGACAGCAGCCGUGUGUCUCAGCUCUGCCGGCUCCCCCCAGAAGAACCCUGAACCGGACAGAAGCAAAGAGAGGUUCAAAGAGAAGGCUCCACCCAGAAGCCAGAAGCCCAUGUCCACCUAGAGGGCACAUGGCAGAGGGUCCCCUCCCUGCGCUGGGAGUAAAGGGCCCCCCUGGAAAGUGAGAUUCAGGUGGGAGCCCUUGGGAUCAGCAGGUGUGAGGCUCCCCUGCUCCCCGCCCCCCACAACCUGGGUCCCUGCCCCACACCCUCAGGGGCCGCUGGAGCCGAAGCCCCUGGACCUCGGGUCUGCUCAUCACAGCAGCACAACAGGGCCUUUGUUGGCCAAUACACCUCUGAACCCGGCUCGGCCCCAGAAGGACCAACACAAGACCGUCUUCCAGGCAAAUUCUGCAAUUCUGUAUUUGGAUAUUUUUAAGGGAAGUUCUUUAUUAGUAUCUAAAUAUGUCACUAUUGAAAGGGGAAAUGCCCAUCGAAACCACACCUCUGCCAGCUUUACCAGAAAUAGCAGAUGAAGCUGGAACCUGGUGCCCUAAAGGACAGCGCGAGGCUUUUAGCGCCAAGCCCUCGCACGUCCAGAGGGGCCAAACUCUGAGUCUUUGCAAGGAGCCAACAAGGGGGGGACAACUCGGACUGUGUCCCCACAUCCCCAAGGCCCUGCUGGCCACUGAAAUAGAGUCCGUGGAGCCCACGGAGGUCAGCAGGGCCCAGGCCCGCGGGGGGGCCCCGCUUUGCUUUCCUUCCCAGCCAUAAGGGCGAAGAGACGUGAAAUGCAAACCCCCCACUUGGGAGCCUGGUUUUUCAUGACACCCCAUCUCCCCGCUUCCCGUGAAGGGGAACAGAAGCCCAGAAAGGGAUUCAGGGACUGGACCCCGCAGCCCCGCCCAGGGCCCGGGGCAGGGUCACCAUCUGGGGACCAGAGGGCAUCCGACGUCCUCGACUGUCACCUUGGAGGGCCGCUCUGUCACCUCGCACAGGGAAUGGCCCCUGGUUCCCACCCCCGGGGUAAUGACUUCGCACUGUGUAGAUCAGGCCGAAGCAAAACAGGACACGGAAAGGCCCUCGGGCUGCCUCCACCCCCACCCCCGGCUGCCAAGGGGCCAGGACAAUAGCUCUGCAGCUGCCGGGAUCCAUUUCCUUGUCCUGCCAAGGGUGUGGUCCGUCCUGGAAUGCCAGGCCACGGCCGGCCCGCCUGACAGGGCGCCGUCCUGGCCAGUCCAGGCUUAAGACCCGGGGAUCCGGAGCCAGGCAGGUGGGUCACCAGGGACUGGGAGGGACCUUAUCCACGGGAGGUGGGUGGGGUGUCGCAGGCAGGACCUCGCUGCCCCCAGGCCAUGUCCCCAGGCCCGAAGCCACCAGGACUUUGCACAGAGAGGCAGCAGGGCUAAAUGUGGGGCAUGAGAGAGGAGGGGCUGCCCAGAGCUGGGUGCAGGGUGCGGGGCUCUGGGCGCGGGUCCCCGCGAGGAUGAGGGUGGCAGGUGGCCCUCCUCCUACAACCUGGCCAUUUCCGGCUGCCCUUCCCUCCUCACUCCAGACAACAGGAGGCCCGCUGAGGCCUCAGACCAAGGAUCAGGGGCUCAGGUGAGGAGGACGUAACAGGAAGAAAUCAGAAGCUCCACUUAAGCUUCUUGGGUGCUGCUGGCAGCUGCCAGGGUCACAGGGGUGCACUGACGCCCCCUCCCCGCUCCGCGUCCUUCUCCUCUCUGCCAGCCUCCACCCCAGGCCCAGGCCCCAGAUUGGUGCCACCUAAUUUCCACCGAUGAUGUCCCGUUUCUCGCCUCCAGGCCUGUCUGUCCGCAAAACCCAGAGCUGUGUGUCCAGCUGCCAACCCCGCUGUCACCUCCAGGUGUCUCGCAGUCGUCUCUGGCCCAGAUCUGCUCUCCCCGCCUCAUCUCACAGUUGCCUCGCCCUUACCUGUCCCAUCUGCGCCGAGAGCAAGUCCUGGGCCCUGCCCCCAAAGCAGCUCUCAGCCUGCUGCCUGCACACCAGCCCUCCUGCCCUCGUCACUGCUUGCCCAACCUCCUCGUGUUUGUUCUGGUCCCCUGCGCCCAUGAAUCUGCCACCGUGUGAUGACACAUGCCCUGAGGACACGCUUGGGUCAUGUCCCAGAGCAGUUGAAUCAUCUCGGGGGCGCUCCGUCACACUCCAGAUGGAGUUCAAGCUCUUGGCCGUGUGCUGGGAGGGGGGCUGGCGCAGGGAGGCCCUCCCUAUACCAUUGUCACCACCGCCGCCACCGCCGCCACCGCCACCACCGCCGCCACCGCCACCGCC